rnacentral:rRNA from 1 species
GACAGAGGAUGCAAGCGUUAUCCGGAAUUAUUGGGCGUAAAGCGCGCGCAGGCGGAUUGAUAAGUCAGGUGUGAAAUCUCGAGGCUCAACCUCGAAACUGCGCCUGAAACUAUUAGUCUAGAGUGUUGGAGGGGGUAGGGGAAUUUCACGUGUAGGGGUAAAAUCCGUAGAGAUGUGAAGGAACACCGGAGGCGAAGGCGCCUACCUGGACAACUACUGACGCUGAGGCGCGAAAGCGUGGGGGAGCAAACAGG